AUUAUCAGCUCUAACUCAACUUACACAUGCAAGUCUCCGCAACCCAGUGAAUAUGCCCUCAAUCCCCCCACCCGGGGACGAGGAGCGGGCAUCAGGCACAAACAUUAGCCCAAGACGCCUAGCCAAGCCACACCCCCAAGGGAAUUCAGCAGUGAUAAACAUUAAGCCAUAAGUGAAAACUUGACUCAGUUAGUGUUAAGAGGGCCGGUAAAACUCGUGCCAGCCACCGCGGUUAGACGAGAGGCCCUAGUUGAUAUUACAACGGCGUAAAGGGUGGUUAAGGAUAAACAAAAAUAAAGUCAAAUGGCCCCUUGGCCGUCAUACGCUUCUAGGAGUCCGAAGCCCUAAUACGAAAGUAACUUUAAUAAACCCACCUGACCCCACGAAAGCUGAGAAACAAACUGGGAUUAGAUACCCCACUAUGCUCAGCCGUAAACUCAGACAUCCAGCUACAAUUAGAUGUCCGCCAGGGUACUACGAGCAUUAGCUUAAAACCCAAAGGACCUGACGGUGUCUCAGACCCCU
rnacentral:rRNA from 1 species